rnacentral:misc_RNA from 1 species
AACGCACCUUGCACCCUUUGGUAUUCCGAAGGGUAUGCCUGUCUGAGUGUCAUUAGACCAUCUCUCCCAUCCGUUUCGGACAAGAGAGCUUUGGGGGUCUGCCUGUCUUAUCCGGCUCCCCUUAAAUGCCUUAGUGAAUUAUCGAUCCAAGUUGCUUGAUCUUUCACUCUAACACACACUCUUGAUUUGACCUCAGAUCAGGUAGGACUACCCGCUGAACUUAA